AUGAACGCUGGCGGCGUGCCUAAUACAUGCAAGUCGCGCGAACGGACGAGAAGCUUGCUUCUCUGAUGUUAGCGGCGGACGGGUGAGUAACACGUGGAUAACCUACCUGUAAGACUGGGAUAACUUCGGGAAACCGGAGCUAAUACCGGAUAAUAUUUUGAACCGCAUGGUUCAAAAGUGAAAGACGGUCUUGCUGUCACUUAUAGAUGGAUCCGCGCUGCAUUAGCUAGUUGGUAAGGUAACGGCUUACCAAGGCAACGAUGCAUAGCCGACCUGAGAGGGUGAUCGGCCACACUGGAACUGAGACACGGUCCAGACUCCUACGGGAGGCAGCAGUAGGGAAUCUUCCGCAAAGGGCGAAAGCCUGACGGAGCAACGCCGCGUGAGUGAUGAAGGUCUUCGGAUCGUAAAACUCUGUUAUUAGGGAAGAACAUAUGUGUAAGUAACUGUGCACAUCUUGACGGUACCUAAUCAGAAAGCCACGGCUAACUACGUG
rnacentral:rRNA from 1 species